GUUGCUCAUUCUACAGUAGAAUCUUAUAACUUUACAAACAGUGUUGUCACACAUAUUUUACCUGGACAAUAAUGAUCAGUGAAUUAUGAGUUUUCAAAUGAUAUCUCACAAGGCAUACUUCGUACAAAUUUAUCAUAGUUUUGUAAAA